rnacentral:rRNA from 1 species
GAGUUUGAUCCUGGCUCAGGACGAACGCUGGCGGCGUGCCUAACACAUGCAAGUCGUACGAGGACGGUCUUCGGACCGAGCCGAGUGGCGGACGGGUGAGUAACACGUGACCAAUCUGCCUUCGAGAGGGGGAUAACCUGGGGAAACUCGGGCUAAUACCGCAUGACGUGUCGUGCUCGCAUGGGCGUGACACCAAAGGAAGGCCUCUACUUGUAAGCUUUCGCUCGAAGAGGAGGUCGCGGCGUAUCAGCUAGUUGGUAGGGUAACGGCCUACCAAGGCGACGACGCGUAGCGGGUCUGAGAGGACGACCCGUCACAUUGGGACUGAGAUACGGCCCAGACUCCUACGGGAGGCAGCAGUGGGGAAUAUUGCGCAAUGGCCGAAAGGCUGACGCAGCGACGCCGCGUGUGGGAGGAAGCCCUUCGGGGUGUAAACCACU